UCUCUUUGCAGGAUGCUUUUGUGUUAUGGGAUACAUAUGGUUUCCCGAUAGAUUUGACUCAGUUAAUGGCGGAAGAAAGAGGGUUGCUGGUUGAUGUUGAUGGUUUCAACAAAGCCAUGGAUGAGGCGAGGGAAAGA